UGCUAUCGGGAUGGGACUAAUACAUGAUAGUCGUGCUUCUCCAUCCAUGGUGGAGGCGCGGCGCACACCUCAUUAUCACGUGGUUAACCUGCCCUUGGGACUGACACACCCCCGGGAAACUGGGGCUAAUUUCCGAUAGGUGAAAGCUCCUGGAAUGGAUCUUCCCCUAAAGGGCGCUUAUGCCAUGCUUCUAGGCGCUGCCCAAGGAUGGGGCCGCGGCCGAUCAGGUUGUUGGUGAGGUAAUGGCUCACCAAGCCUUUAACCGGUUCGGGCCGUGGGAGCGGGAGCCCGGACAUGGGCACUGAGACAAGGGCCCAGGCCCUACGGGGCGCAACAAUCGCGAAAACUCCGCAAUACGCGAAGGCGUGACGGGGCUAUCCCGAGUGCCGUCCGCUGAGGAUGGCUUUUCCCCAGUGUAGAUAGAUGGGGGAAUAAGGAGAGGGCAAGUCUGGUGUCAGCCGCCGCGGUAAUACCAGCUCUCCGAGUGGUGUGGACGUUUAUUGAGCCUGAAGCAUCCGUAGCCAGCUGAGCAAGUCCCCAGUUAAAUCCAGCGAUUUAAUCGUUGGACUGCUGCCGAUACUGUCCGCUAGGGGGUGGGAGAGGCUGACGGUAUUCCUGGCGUAGGGGUGAACAUCUUAUAAUCCUGGUGAUGUCCACCAGUAUCGAAGGCUGUUGUCUAGAACAUGCCCGCCGGCGAGGGAUGAGAGGAGGGGGAUCGAACCAGAUUAGAUACCCGGGUAGUCCCAUCUGUAAACGAUGCAGGGUAGGUGUUAGGGCGACCCCGUGCCGCUCUAGUGCCGCAGUGAAGCUGUUAAGCAUGCAGCUUGCGGAGUACGUCUGCAAGGCUGAAACUUAACGGAAUUGGCGGGGGAGCACCACAAGGGGUGAAGCUUGCGGUUUAAUUGGAGUCAACGCCGGAAAUCUCUCCGGGAGCGACAGCAGGAUGAAAGCCAGAUUAAAGGUCUUUCCAGACGAGAUGAGAGGAGGUGCAUGGCCGUCGCCAGUUCGUGCCUUGAGGUGUCCUGUUAAGUCAGUCAACGAUCGAGACCCGCAUUUCCAGUUGCUACCAACCAUGCGUUGGGCACACUGGGGAGACUUCCGCCGAUAAGGAGGAGGAAGGAGCGGGCCUCGGCAGGUCAGUAUGCCCCGAAUUUCUCGGCCCACACGCGAGCUGCAAUGGCAGGUACAAUGGGUUCCAACCCCGUAAGGGGGAGGCAAUCUUUAAUACCUGCCGUAGUUGGGAUCGAGGGUUGUAACUCACCCUCGUGAACAUGGAAUCCCUCGUAAUCGCGCGUCACUAUCGCGCGGUGAAUACGUCCCUGCUCCUGCACACACCG
rnacentral:rRNA from 1 species